GGGUCCCUCAAAUUUGGCUGCCCAGAACCAUGUCCAGUUGGGGUUUGAGUAUCUUCAAAGGAUGGAGACUCCACAACCUCUGCGGGCAGCCUGUUCCCAUGUUCAGCCGCCCUUGCUGCAAUAAAGUGUUUUCUCAUGUUUAAAUUAAAUUUCCCAUGUAGGUACUGCUAAAUGCAAAUGAAAUAACCCAAAGGUUCCUUAGGCAGCAUAUCCUGAGGAAGACGUCAGUUUUAAGACUGAAGUCCAUUACUAACAGCUGUCCAUACUCCACUUGGUAAAGGUGCUGUCCUUUACGAAGCCUCUGGUGUGUUGAUUUAUCCUCAGGAUGACUCUUCCCUUUGGGUGUGCUUCCGUUUGCCAUCUGCCAGAACAGCCCAGGAUUUGUGCCGUGUCCUUCCACAGACACGUUACCUGGAGCAGCCUGUGCCAAGCCGUGUGCUCCUGUCACACAGCAGGGAGUUUGUCUUGCUGGUGGUGCAGUGGGCAGGCUGUGUCCUGCCCUGCACUAGCUGCAGGCAAGCACUGCAGAGGCUGCCCUGACAUCUGCAGGGAAAUUUAAGAAGGAAAAGUGUUAAUUCAGAAGGGCUCUAUUAAACCAGAUUGUUAUCAGAUACACAGAAGAACCCACUGGGAUUGGUCUUGUCCUUACUGGUGAAUGAUGCUGUGAACCAUGUGCUUCACUGUUUCCAAUGCUGCUGCUGGCAUUUGUGUCUUUUUCUGAAAGCACGCUGUCU